AAUGCGAUGGUCAUCGGUUCGACUCCGAUAGCGGGCU
rnacentral:tRNA from 1 species